GCCUUCGUGGUGUAGUAGUCAGCACACUCGAUGCGUAACCCAGGGGUCCGUGGUUCGAUUCCCAGCAAAGGCG
rnacentral:tRNA from 1 species